rnacentral:rRNA from 1 species
GGAAUAUUGGACAAUGGGCGCAAGCCUGAUCCAGCCAUGCCGCGUGUGUGAAGAAGGCCUUCGGGUUGUAAAGCACUUUCAGCGGGGAGGAAGGGUGUUGUGUUAAUAGCACAGCAUUUUGACGUUACCCGCAGAAGAAGCACCGGCUCACUCCUUGCACGCAGCCGCGGUAAUACGGAGGGUGCAAGCGUUAAUCGGAAUUACUGGGCGUAAAGCGGACGGAGGGGGUAUGUUAAGUUGGAUGUGAAAGCCCCGGGCUCAACCUGGGAAUUGCAUUCAAAACUGGCAUGCUAGAGUAUGUGAGAGGGGGGUAGAAUUCCAAGUGUAGCGGUGAAAUGCGUAGAGAUUUGGAGGAAUACCAGUGGCGAAGGCGGCCCCCUGGCACAAUACUGACGCUCAGGUGCGAAAGCGUGGGGAGCAAAC